GAGUAACACGUGGAUAACCUACCUAUAAGACUGGGAUAACUUCGGGAAACCGGAGCUAAUACCGGAUAAUAUUUUGAACCGCAUGGUUCAAAAGUGAAAGACGGUCUUGCUGUCACUUAUAGAUGGAUUCGCGCUGCAUUAGCUAGUUGGUAAGGUAACGGCUUACCAAGGCAACGAUGCAUAGCCGACCUGAGAGGGUGAUCGGCCACACUGGAACUGAGACACGGUCCAG
rnacentral:rRNA from 1 species